rfam:Triticum aestivum genome assembly, contig: Triticum_aestivum_CS42_TGACv1_scaffold_157940_2DL
CUAGUACUCCCUCCGUUCGGAAUUACUUGUCUCGGAAAUGGAUGUAUCUAGAACUAAAAUACGUCUAGAUACAUCCAUUUCCGCGACAAGUAAGUCCGAACGGAGGGAGUACUUG